CUACGGGUCGCUCCAGUAGGGAAUUUUCGGCAAUGGGCGCAAGCCUGACCGAGCAACGCCGCGUGGAGGAUGACGCAUUUCGGUGUGUAAACUCCUUUUAUAUGUCAAGAAAAUGACGGUAGCAUAUGAAUAAGCACCGGCUAACUCCGUGCCAGCAGCCGCGGUAAUACGGAGGGUGCAAGCGUUACUCGGAAUCACUGGGCGUAAAGGACGCGUAGGCGGGUUGGAAAGUCAGGUGUGAAAUCCUACAGCUUAGCUGUAGAACUGCACUUGAAACUUCUAAUCUAGAGUAUGGGAGGGGGAGAUGGAAUUAGUGGUGUAGGGGUAAAAUCCGUAGAUAUCACUAGGAAUACCUAAAGCGAAGGCGAUCUCCUGGAACAUUACUGACGCUAAGGCGUGAAAGCGUGGGGAGCAAACAGGAUUAGAUACCCGAGUAGUC
rnacentral:rRNA from 1 species